CAAACGUUUUUCCCUCUGCUGGCUCCUUCUUUCCCCUCUGCUGGUGAAACCCGAUUUCUUUUCCCCAUUUUCAGCUUUCAAAGCUUUAUUUUCUGUUCUUUGUUCCUCUUCCGCAGCAGGUUAUUGCAAUUCCUGAGUAUAACCAUGCCAUAGGGUAUGCAUCAAUAGCAGAUUACAAUACACAGAAGCUUCCCCAGAAACAAUUUGUGAAUGGGCAGAGGUGAGGUUGAUUUUAGUGACCAAUCCUUUUUUGCUUAUUUUUCGCUUAUUUGUAUAUGUAAAUUGGCUGCAGUAAUCUUUACAACGUUGUAAUUGGUGUUUGGAGUUAAUAUCCUCCAUUGUUUAAUUGCUUCAAUAGCAGCUCCAUUUUUGUCUUAUGGAUAAGGUGUCAUUUUCAUUUUUGUUUGGUUUCUUUUCAAGUCCUGUAGUGUUCUUGAAUGCUUGUUGUGGAUGUGUUACUAAUGCCUAUCAAGCUUAAAUACACUCGAAAUGAUUGAUGCAGGGUUAUUGCAA